AUAUUUUUUUUUAAUUUUUCUCUCUGUUCUGUGGAAACACGCCUCGCUUUUUGAUCUCUCUCACGGCUCUCUCAUCUGUCUCCGCUUCCUUUUUCUUUGCAAUUCUACAUUUUCUCAAAUUUUUCUAGCGUUUAUUACCUUCAACCUCACCUGGCUCUCUUCUAUUUUGUGCUGAUUCCUAUUUCAACUUCUAGGGUUUGCUGCUUUCCACUUUGCAACUCAUUCUUCAACUUGUUUGCCCUUUAUAAUCUGCAUUCCCCAACUGGGUCUUGCUUCUCUAGUAUUUCUUCCUCUAGGGUUGGUUUAAUUUCACAUACUACUGACUUGUUUCUACAGCUGGGUGCUCUUAGAUCUCAAAUUCACUUCUGUUCUUCGUUCUGUAGUUCUUAAUUGUUCACUCAAUGUCACAAGGCUAUGCAAUUGAGCUAUACUUCGAUCCAGCCCUUGAAAACCAGGUUUUGAAGGCCUGGAACGUGCUAGCGCGUCGCCAAAUUAGUACCCAACUCAUUGAAAUCGAGUCUCGCCCUCACAUAACCCUCUAUUCUAGCUCGUUUGUUGAGCCUACAAAGCUUGAAUCAAUCGUCAAGACAUUUGCCUCAAAGCAGGAACCAUUGUCCUUAUGCUUGUCUGCAGUUGGGAGUCUUCCAAAUGACAACAAUGUCCUCUUUUUAGCCCCUACACCUUCACUUUCACUUCUUCAAUUUCAUUCGCAGUUGUAUGAUGCAUUGAAGAAGGAGGGGAUUGAGAUUACUGAAGAGUUCCGCCCUGAUUCUUGGAUUCCUUAUUGUGCGGUGGCUCAAGAUGUCCCAAAGGCGAGAAUAGGGGAGGCGUUUUGUGUCUUGAGAGACUUGAAGUUGCCGGUUACGGGGUAUGCAAUGGAUAUUGGGUUGGUGGAGUUCUCACCAGUUCGUGAAUUAUUCUCGUAUGUCCUUGGCAAUUCAAUAGAAGGAUGAGUUUGGUAUCUAAUGGCCCAGUUUCAAUGUUGCAUGUGUUAAUUUUGCAUUCGGAGAUCGAUUAUGCAGCCGUUGAUUCCCAUUCUUCCAUGUCAAGGGCAUGAAAGGGCUGCAAUCCAAUUCCACAAACACACAUAGAUUGGGGGAGAUAUUGUUUGCAUGAAGGGGAGUCUGCAAAAUCUGAAGCAGCGCAAUUAUCAAUAUGAUGUUUUUCCUGUACCAAAAAGGAAGAUAUUUAAACUGGCCAUCUAUAAUAGUCAGAGAGGAAUGUGCUCUCCUUCAUGGCCAUUGAUUUCCUAAGUUGCUAUUUUCUGGUUUUAUACUUGAUAUUAUCUUGCAUCAUCUUCUAAAGUAGAGUUGGACAUACAUUGCCCCUGAAGUUGGCACUGUUGAUGCCAUUCAAUUGUUUAGGCUGUUUGGUCCUGGCUUUCAUUCCAAGGACUGGCCAUUCUCUAUUCAAAUAACUCAAAGUUCAAAUCCGAAAGGCUGAAGCCAUUUUCCUUUUCUCUGGUUAUA